rnacentral:lncRNA from 1 species
CUCACAAGUUCCUUAAUCGCAAAAUUUAAUGAUGGAAUUAGAGAGGAAUUUUACAUUUUCCAUCUCUAAAUUUCCCUCACUAAUUUUUACUUUUUUAGUAGUGCAAUCUAGUUCAACAUAACCACGCUAUCUCAUAAUGGAUUCUGUUAAUCCCCAUGAUUCCACUUUCAUUGGUGAACAUAGUCCAUCAAACCGUAUUUUCGUUGCUUUUAUAAAAUGAUUUGAGCUUCUAACCUUGCUUCCAUAACAUAGAUAAAUUGAAUCCAUAUAAAUUACGGAAACUUAUACCUCUAAAUUCUUUCUGCAUUGUUAUCUUGUUCUAGAUAAGACUCUAAAUUCUUUCUGCAUCGUUAGCUUGUCCUAGUUAAGGCAAUUUAUUUAUUUUCCUUGUCUCUUAAUCUCUCCCACCAAAACGAGUUGAUCUUCUAUGAUUUUCCUCCCCCAAAUUUAGAGAAGAAAGAAGGGUACUCAUAAAAAAUGUAGGGAUGGAUUGCGCUACUGACUUAAUCAGAACUCAUGUGCAUGCCUUUGACAAGUUUCAUGACCAUUAAUUCUUGUAUUAUCCUCCAAACUCUAUCCCUCGAAAAACCAAAAUUGGACUUUUUCUUCUUGUUGAUCAUGGAUGGAAAACCAACUUUUUCCUAGUUCCCAUGCUUUCUAAUAGUUGAAAGAUAUUCUUCAUAGGCUCCCUCAAAUUAGCUUGUGUACUGCUUUUUGAAAAGGAUAACUGGCUUUUAUAAAUCGAUGGCUUGUCCUAACACCUCUUCAUAUAGCUGGAGGAUCUGUUUCAAUUAGUACACCCACCUUCAUCUAUCCUGCAAAACAAAAAACAAUCGUCAAAAAAUAAAAGGUGUGCAAAGAGUACUGGAGCUUCUCUACACACUUUGAUUUCAUGGAUUUCUUCUCUCUCCUUAAAUUUUCUCAAGAAGACAGAAAGUCUCUCGGCAGUGGCGGAGCC